rnacentral:rRNA from 1 species
GAGUUUGAUCGUGGCUCAGAUUGAACGCUGGCGGCAUGCCUUACACAUGCAAGUCGAACGGCAGCACGGGAGCUUGCUCCUGGUGGCGAGUGGCGAACGGGUGAGUAAUGCAUCGGAACGUAUCCUGGAGUGGGGGAUAACGUAGCGAAAGUUACGCUAAUACCGCAUAUUCUGUGAGCAGGAAAGCGGGGGACCUUCGGGCCUCGCGCUCUUGGAGCGGCCGAUGUCGGAUUAGCUAGUUGGUGAGGUAAAGGCUCACCAAGGCGACGAUCCGUAGCAGGUCUGAGAGGAUGAUCUGCCACACUGGAACUGAGACACGGUCCAGACUCCUACGGGAGGCAGCAGUGGGGAAUUUUGGACAAUGGGGGCAACCCUGAUCCAGCCAUGCCGCGUGGGUGAAGAA